GGGCGUUUGAACCUGAGAGACAGGUUUCCCCUUCGGGGGCAAAAUGACAGGUGGUGCAUGGUUGUCGUCAGCUCGUGUCGUGAGAUGUUGGGUUAAGUCCCGCAACGAGCGCAACCCUUAUGACUAGUUGCCAGCAUUUAGUUGGGCACUCUAGUAAGACUGCCGGUGACAAACCGGAGGAAGGUGGGGAUGACGUCAAAUCAUCAUGCCCCUUAUGACCUGGGCUACACACGUGCUACAAUGGAUGGUACAACGAGUUGCGAGACCGCGAGGUCAAGCUAAUCUCUUAAAGCCAUUCUCAGUUCGGACUGUAGGCUGCAACUCGCCUACACGAAGUCGGAAUCGCUAGUAAUCGCGGAUCAGCACGCCGCGGUGAAUACGUUCCCGGGUCUUGUACACACCG
rnacentral:rRNA from 2 species